CAGAGAAUUUCGCCCUCACGGGUGACUCUCCAACCCUAUGUUAUCAUAUCUUUGUUGCUUUGGCGAGACGCCUCGUGCCACCGACUUUUGUCGGUGAGCGCUCGCCAGAGGACCCAAAACUCUUGAAUUUAUUAUUGUCUGAGUACUAUAUAAUAGUUA
rnacentral:misc_RNA from 1 species